UGUACGCUAUUUUUCAUUUAAUGUUAGCUGGUCUUAUAUAUUUGACCAUUGUUUGCAUACAACUUCUUAGAGGGGAUUCUGGUCUUUGUUUAACCAACAUGCCUGUAGAAGAAGCCCAAAGGUUAAUACUACAAACCCAUGUUAGAAGUGCUUCUAAUAUUUAACGAGUAUGAAGACUACGACUAUGCUAGGACUGGUAAUAUUGCUACAGAAACGGUAGUAGUUAUAUGCUAGGACUGCAUUAUAUUUGUUUACAUGCCCUUUUAAAUCUCUACCAACAGCCACAUUAUCAAUCUUAGUGACUCGGUUAAUUCGACUAAUGUGUCUUUAUCUAAUCAAGACAUAGUUGAAGUUAGGGCAGUUUGUGUAUAUUGAUAAAUUUGAGUUUGAUUGACCGGUACCGCGUGUAAGUGGAGUGCGUCUGCUUGCUGGACGCUGUCCGUUAUCCGUUUGUAGAGUUUGUUGUUUAUAUAUUCCAGUUGAUAAAAUCGGGCUAGGUUGUGAAUAUAUCGUGUUGCUGCUAUUGAUUUUUAAUGUUGUUGAUUACCAGAUUCAAGCAACUGUGUUGUUUAUGUUUAGUUAUUUAGUUGUUCCCAAUGGUACGUGAUUGGCCAAGGCUCCAACACUUUUCCGAAAACAUGAACGCCUCUCGCGCAACGCGCGAUAUUGAUAACACUAGUAUCUAUUCCGAAAACAUGAACGCCUCUCGCGCAACGCGCGAUAUUGAUAACACUAGUAUCUAUUAAUAUUAAUAUUAAUAUUAAUAUUAAUAUUAAUAUUAAUAAAAGAGUUGAAAUGAACAGUAGAUAGAAAACAUACCUGGCCUCUAUUUUACAUGUGUUUCAUCCUGCUUUCUACCCAUCUUCUCAAAACUCAAAAGAGAUAUACAGGCACAGAAAGAGACGGAGAAAAUAGAUGCGAAAGAAAGCAAAGAGAGAGAUCCGGAGCCGGCGAAUCUCCGGCAACCGGCCCCACGCGUGCUUGCCUCCCACCCACAGAAACAAAGUCGUCGAGUCUAGGUUUCCCGGUUAGGGUUCCGAUCAAGUUCUGGCAAUUUCCGGUUAGCUUUUUUAUCUUGCAUGUUGGCUAUUUUGUUAGAUCGGUGGUCCAUGAACCUUAAUCUGACGAGUCAUGCUGAUCUGUGGAGUAGGUUACCUCCGGUGAGGUUCCGGUAAGGUUCUAUUACCCAUUGUUGAUGGGUCAGAGGAGAUGGAAGUUGUCAUGAUAAUUGUUGUUCUUUGACGUGCAAAUGCCGAAGUGUCACCACUGGCGGAUUCAGGCCGUCUUGGCCGCGGCUAUUUUAAACGUAAAACCCUAGCCGACGUUUUAGGCGACGACGGUCGGGGUUCAUGCGAGGUUUCAGCCUUUCACCUACCUGACAAUGAUGAUGGCUUGCUACCUGGUACGGCAACUCCGGUUGCAACCGUAGCGCCACUGAGCGGGUUGGACGGCGAUGACGAUCUUUUCGGAUCCGAGUCAAAUUGUGUUGGUAAUUUCGUUUUUUUUUGUUUUGCUGUAUGAGAUUGAUUAUACGAUUGUGUUUCUGGUGUUGGUCAUGUUGUUUCUCGCUGUUGUUUCGGCUGUGAUAUCGAUGGUUGUGCUGUUGAUAGUAGUAAUGAAAAGACAGGACUUUUUUAUGUUCGUGGUAAAAGUACAAAUUGUAUGUUUGUGGAUUGAUUUUGGGAUUUGAAGCAUUAUCCGGCGAUGAUGGUGGAUUGCUAUUUGGCGUGGCAACUAUGUUUGCAGCCGUAGCGGCAUUGAGCCGUGUUUUGUUGGUACCGGCGAUGAUGAAGGGUCAUUCUGAGCCUUUUACGCUAAACCAAUUUGGUGAACCACCAGAGACAUAAUGGCAAACUUUGGAACUUGAACAAUCACCAAACUGAUGUUAUUAAGGCGCUGAUGUUGAAGGAAUUUUGGAGCAUACACUAUUCAAGGGAACAUAGAGAUGAACUAGGGAAAAACACUAUGUGAUGACGUGCUUCAAUGAACGGCAAUUUCCUGGAUGACGGUGGCAGACGUGGGGCGUGCAUUGGUCAAUUUCCUAAUGAAGGUGGCGGACGUGGGGGUGGCGGGUGUGGGGUGCUGGUGUUAGAAUUCUCCUUAAACUCGCAAAUAAUUGUAACACCGAUGCUUUAGUUGCACCAAGUGUUAGGAUAGUGAGUUACUUUUUAGUAUUAUUUAGUAAGACAUGUUGCUGUUCUUUAGGGGAUGUAUGGGACUCUAGCUUUAUGUUCCAUUUGACAUGAUGUUUGGAUAAUUACACUACCACUGCUCUUUUGUAUAUCACGCCUAGGCUUAUAAAAUAGUUACAUGUAA
rnacentral:lncRNA from 1 species